rnacentral:rRNA from 1 species
GACGAACGCUGGCGGCGUGCCUAAUACAUGCAAGUAGAACGCAGUGGCGAGCGGGUGAGUAACGCGUAGGUAACUGCCUCAUAGCGGGGGAUAACUAUUGGAAACGAUAGCUAAUACCGCAUACUGUGAGAUGGACCGGCGUUGUAUUAGCUAGUUGGUGAGGUAAAGGCUCACCAAGGCGACGAUACAUACCCGACCUGAGAGGGAGAUCGGGCAAACUGGGAAUGAGGCAAGGCCCCGAACUCUACGGGAGGGAGGAGUAGGGAAUUUUCGGAAAUGGAGGGAAGUCUGACUGAGCAACGGCGCGUGAGUGGAGAAGGUUUUCGGAUCGUAAAGGUCUGUUGUUAGAGAAGCGGUAACUAACGAGAAAGGAACGGCUAACUACGUGCCAGCAGCCGCGGUAAUAC